rnacentral:lncRNA from 1 species
UAGUAGUAAUUGAUUGUAAUAAUGAAACAUAUUUAUAUCCUCUACUCACUCCUCCCUGUAACCCUUGUCCAGCUGAAUACCAGGCUGAGGGAGUGUGACCAGAGACUGACAGAGGUGCGUAAUGAGUACCUUCUGACACUGUCUGCCAUCAACCUCAUCACCAGUACACUACACUGCAGAGCUGCCUGCCAUCAUGAUGAGACUGGACAGUGACCUGUAUGAGCAAAUCCGAGAACACUUCACUCUCUUGUGCUGCACAGAGAUCGACACCUGCCGGUCAACGCAUAGUAACUUUAGCAAGAUCUGCGAGAACUCCACCAAGGUGAGGCCGUGCGUGGGAUCCUCACAGUAAACCCUCCCACAGACAGUAGCCCCACUGUAAUACCCAGAGCUGUGACAUUCCUCACCUGGGCACCGCUGAUGGAGGCCAGACAGACCACUGACUGAUGUUCUGUUCUAUGGGACGUGAACUAGUGUCUGUGUCCCAAAUAACACCAUAUUCCCUAUAUAUUGCAUUGCUUUGGUCCAAAGUAGUGAACUAUGUAAGAAAUAAUGUGCCAAUGUGGGAGUAAUGAGAGUGUUUGUUUGGUUCUCUGAUAGGUGUCUAGAGAACAGAACAUCCAGAUCUUCCUCCAGGAGUUCCCGGUCUUCACCAGAACGCCGGCUUUCACUUCCAGUUGCCCCUAAAGACAAGGUGUGCAUUCUGAAGCAACAUAGCUCCAGUGCUGAGGGGGAGAGCUGUUUGGACAAGGAGGCCCGCAAGUGGUCUGCUAAGGCUGCCAAAGACUACAAGAUCAUCUCACACGGAGAUAGGGCCCUGCAGAUGCUGGACAGGCGUUUCAAACUGCUGUCAGGAGACACAGGAGUCAGUGUGGAACAGAAGAUGGUGGAGGUGAAGGAGAUGUAGGAAAGCACAGGUUGACUACUACUAGCCCAACGCUACUGUUACUGUUAGCUACUACUAGCCCAAC